AGUGGCUUGGAAUAAUUACAUAUGUAUGAUAAUUUUACCAGAAGUACAAUAAUUUCAACCUGUGUACUACGAUAAUAUGGCCAGAACAAUCUGGCAACGCUGACUGCUGCUGCCUGACAAGUAAAACAGUGUGCCGCGUCUAUGGGUGGUGUUAGUAAGCGUCUGUUUCAACUCCCAGCCUGACAGAAUUUGUGAGUGCGUUUUUUUUUUUUUUUUUUUUGUGUGUGUAACCAUGCCUACACAGUGGCUGCCAAGGCUUACCCAUGAGUUAAACCUUCUUUAGUUGGUAAUGAGGAAGGCGUGGGCUCUGGCAGUGGACACCCGAAGGCAGCAGUGGGUGAAAACAAGCAAAAUAAAGAAAAGUUUGGCUGUGAGAAGGUGCUAGACAGCCAGCCAUAGUGACGAGGAGGCAGGAGGCACCACCACCACCACAAGGAAGACUUUGGGCUCUUCUUCUGCUCUCCGGCAGCGCCUUGGUCGUCCUCGUGGUCGUCGUGGGGUCGUGGGGUCGUCUCAUCGAUAACAAUAGAGACAGGGGACUUGGCACCGUCGUCACGCCUCGUCGUCGCCAGAGCGUCUUUCUUCGCAUCCUGAUCUUGUGGCAUC